rnacentral:rRNA from 1 species
AAGCCAGUCACCGAAGCUGCGGAUAUGCUUUUAGCAUAUGGUAGGAGAGCGUUCUGUAAGCCUGCGAAUGUGUCUUGUAAAGGAUGCUGGAGGUAUCAGAAGUGCGAAUGCUGACAUGAGUAGCGAUAAUGGGGGUGAAAAGCCCCCACGCCGUAAGCCCAAGGUUUCCUGUUCAACGUUCAUCGGAGCAGGGUGAGUCGGCCCCUAAGGCGAGGCAGAGAUGCGUAGCUGAUGGGAAGCAGGUUAAUAUUCCUGCACCGUCGUAUGAUGCGAUGGGGGGACGGAUCGCGGAAGGUUGUCUGCCUGUUGGAAUAGGCAGUUUCUGGUUCAUAGAAGGCGCUUAGGCAAAUCCGGGCGCAGGAUUCAAGGGACUGGGACGAGGAGUUUAGGCUCUGAAGCAAUCGGAAGUGGUUCCAAGAAAAGCCUCUAGCUUCAGUCAUACGAGACCGUACCGCAAACCGACACAGGUGGGCGAGAUGAGUAUUCUAAGGCGCUUGAGAGAACUCGGGAGAAGGAACUCGGCGAAUUGGUACCGUUACUUCGGGAAGAGGUACGCCCUUGUAGCUUGGCUGAUUUACUUCAGUAGGGCGAACGGGUUGCAAUAAACUGGUGGCUGCGACUGUUUAAUAAAAACACAGCACUCUGCAAACACGAAAGUGGACGUAUAGGGUGUGACGCCUGCCCGGUGCUGGAAGAUUAAAUGAUGGGGUGCAAGCUCUUGAUUGAAGUCCCAGUAAACGGCGGCCGUAACUAUAACGGUCCUAAGGUAGCGAAAUUCCUUGUCGGGUAAGUUCCGACCUGCACGAAUGGCGUAACGAUGGCCACACUGUCUCCUCCCGAGACUCAGCGAAGUUGAAGUGUUUGUGAUGAUGCAAUCUACCCGCGGCUAGACGGAAAGACCCCAUGAACCUUUACUGUAGCUUUGCAUUGGACUUUGAAUCAAUCUGUGUAGGAUAGGUGGGAGGCUUUGAAGCGGGGACGCCAGUUCUCGUGGAGCCAACCUUGAAAUACCACCCUGGUUCAUUUGAGGUUCUAACCUUGGCCCGUUAUCCGGGUCGGGGACAGUGCAUGGUAGGCAGUUUGACUGGGGCGGUCUCCUCCUAAAGUGUAACGGAGGAGUUCGAAGGUACGCUAGGUACGGUCGGACAUCGUGCUAAUAGUGCAAUGGCAUAAGCGUGCUUAACUGCGAGACUGACAAGUCGAGCAGGUACGAAAGUAGGACAUAGUGAUCCGGUGGUUCUGUAUGGAAGGGCCAUCGCUCAACGGAUAAAAGGUACUCUGGGGAUAACAGGCUGAUUCCUCCCAAGAGUUCAUAUCGACGGGGGAGUUUGGCACCUCGAUGUCGGCUCAUCACAUCCUGGGGCUGUAGCCGGUCCCAAGGGUAUGGCUGUUCGCCAUUUAAAGUGGUACGUGAGCUGGGUUUAAAACGUCGUGAGACAGUUUGGUCCCUAUCUGCCGUGGGCGUUGGAAAUUUGAAGGGGGCUGCUCCUAGUACGAGAGGACCGGAGUGGACAGACCUCUGGUGUACCGGUUGUCACGCCAGUGGCAUUGCCGGGUAGCUAAGUCUGGAAGAGAUAACCGCUGAAAGCAUCUAAGCGGGAAACUUGCCUUAAGAUGAGAUUUCCCAGAGCCUUGAGCUCUUUGAAGGGUCGUUCGAGACCAGGACGUUGAUAGGUCAGGUGUGGAAGUG